UACGGGGGGAGCAAGCGUUGUUCGGAUUUACUGGGCGUAAAGGGCGCGUAGGCGGUCAGCACAAGUCAGUUGUGAAAUCUCCGGGCUUAACUCGGAAAGGUCAACUGAUACUGUGCGACUAGAGUGCAGAAGGGGCAACUGGAAUUCUCGGUGUAGCGGUGAAAUGCGUUGAUAUCGAGAGGAACACCUGCGGCGAAGGCGGGUUGCUGGGCUGACACUGACGCUGAGGCGCGAAAGCCAGGGGAGCGAACGGG
rnacentral:rRNA from 1 species